GAGGGCACAGCCCCGGGUAUCUGCGGCUCUUUCGGCCACCCUCGGGCUCCUUCAUCGCCCCCCAGCGCAGGGAGCCCCGGGGAGAGGCCCCGCGCAGGGUUCUGGCUGGAUAUGGUGGUGCCAGGCGGCCGCUUGUGCCACCCAGCGCCCUCAGGACCAUCCCGGCGGUGGUGAGGGGAAUUACUUGGCAAAGCUGAUGGUGCACAGGGGACCAGACUCCAAGAUGAAAAGCAAGCCUUGCUGAAAUGUGAAAGCACAGAUUGCACCCUGGAUGAAUGUGGGCAGGAGCUGGAUGAAUAAAGAGGGCUUCACUCACAGCAACAGUUCACCUAAAUCCACUUAAAAUACUUGCUGUAAUAGGAAAAAACCCACCUUUGUCAUGCAGAGAAAGGCAAGACAUCUAAGAAAAAACAUUUGAAAAACUCCCCACCACAAAACUCACCCUGGUAUUGGACUUCUGAAACAGGUUCCAAAGAGCAACUCCAAGUG